rnacentral:rRNA from 1 species
CGGGUGGCAGCAGCAGUGGGGAAUAUUGGGCAAUGGGCGCAAGCCUGACCCAGCAACGCCGCGUGAGGGAAGAAGGUUUUCGGAUUGUAAACCUCUGUCCUUGGGGACGAAGAAGUGACGGUACCCAAGGAGGAAGCUCCGGCUAACUACGUGCCAGCAGCCACGGUAAUACGUAGGGAGCAAGCGUUGUCCGGAAUUACUGGGCGUAAAGGGUGCGUAGGCGGCAUAUUAAGUCAGGUGUGAAAUACUCGGGCUCAACCCGGGGGCUGCAUUUGAAACUGAUAUGCUUGAGUGUGGGAGAGGAAAGUGGAAUUCCUAGUGUAGCGGUGGAAUGCGUAGAUAUUAGGAGGAACACCAGUGGCGAAGGCGACUUUCUGGCUCAUAACUGACGCUGAGGCACGAAAGCGUGGGGAGCAAACAGGAUUAGAUACCCGUGUAGUC